AAAUGCAGUGCUUGCUUCCUAUCUGUGGUCCAUUGCAUAGCAGUGUGCUUGGGUGCUGCGUAAGACAAUUCCCCCCAACGCCUCCAAAAAAUAGGACAUGGUCCACUGCAGGAGUUCAUAAUCUAGGAGUCCAGAGAGUCCAGGCUCAUCAUCCCUUCAGAAGAAAGAAUCUUCAGGCCUCUGCUCUUGUGAGAGUAAUUUCUCUUAACACCGACAGUGCAGCCUACUCCAUGUGCUACUUUCUCUCGCAACUUUGAGCAAGAAUGUUAGAUCUUUUGCUGGGGGCCUUCGGAAGCCGUGAGGGAGCAUAUCCUGACACCCACAUAGAAGACCUGGUACCUAUGUUUCCACAUCACAAAGCAGGCCAACAAGCACACAAGGCCGCAGACCAAAUUAAGAAUCAUCUGGAUGAGUAAGAACAGUUUGAAAGUGCCAGUGACGCUGGUACAGUCCGUCACAUCCCGGUAAACAAAGGUCCUGCUGAGCGGCUCCGAGGAGGGCAGUUUGCACUGGCAAGAGUCGAGUGUGGUCUCACAGGUAAACUGUGUGAGCUGCGAAUAGUGGUGGGCGGCAAAGGCCACGGCCAGCACACAGACCGUCAGGCCCAGGGCACUCAGCAGAAAGUAUAACAGCUGCAAGAAAGCAGAAGAAAACCUUUCUGGUUACAAAGAACAUUGGAUGAUGAUUUGCAAAGCGAAUUCAUCAAAACUGUUCUUUUUCUUCCCUCCCAGAAAUUUUCUGAUGGAAAGGCUGUCUCUUCUUAGAAACACAACACCCAAGACAUGGAAAUAGCUCCAUGUUUAUUUAUUAGUGGGUAGUUCUUAAACCCUGAUCACAUUUUCACUUGCCAUCCAGAUGUUGGGCCCUUUUCAAGAGUUGUGACAACCAUAUUAGCUGGACUGUGGAAUGUUUUUGUCUAGAUAUUGCCAGCAGUUUAGAUGAAUCCCAAACAAGCUAGCCAUCCCUGGAUGACAUGUUGUGCUUAUUUUGAACUCAAGAACUUCUGAUAUUAAGACUGAAACAAGACUAGGAAGUAAAGAACAGGUUUUUGUAAUGCAAACACUGUGUGGGCCAAAAUUAGCAAUGAUGGGUCAACUAAUAGCAUAAGUUAAUUUUUUUAAAAGACUACAUUCAAUGUAGUGAUUGCCAAACUGUAUCCAUAAACAUGAGAAUCCCCAGUAGGAGGUUGCUGGGAGAAAAUAAAUUAUGGCUCCAGAAGUCAAGUGACUCAACGUCAGCUUCAUCGCCUGUGAAACUUACCCCAAGCCCAACAACGACCAUGUGAUUCCUGAGCCUGAAAAAACUCUAAAUGGUUCCUCAGUCACCAAGGUUUUGAACACUGUUGGCCUCCAGAUUAGCUUUGGGAUUGAAAAAGUCUGGUUAAAGUUCUCGCUCUGCUGCUACAGGGCUGUGGGAACUCUGAACAAUUUAGGGAUUUAGCUUACACCUAAAAUAUUCUGAGCAAAACUUGUGGGUGUUCACUGACAUGGCCACAAUAAAAUCUAUGGAACAAGAAAUAUUUUUGUGAUUGAACUCACCUACUAGAAAUGUUAAUCUUAAUGGUCCACCUGCUGAGACUCUAGGUAAGGCUCAGAGUCCCCAGCUUUUGAGACUAGUACACAUAGUUCUUAGUGCAAGAAUUACAUUACCACAGUCAAAAGUUGCUCUCUACAGAGAACAAUUCUGGUAAAUGGACACUUCACAAAGUAAUAUUAGUUCCAGUCAUUUCCAGGUUCAGAGGAAAGUAGCUCUGAGAAGAUGAUGCCCUUCCCCCACCUUCCCUUAUAUAUAAUUC
ensembl:lncRNA novel transcript, antisense to SSPN